UGGGGAAUAUUGCACAAUGGGCGCAAGCCUGAUGCAGCCAUGCCGCGUGUAUGAAGAAGGCCUUCGGGUUGUAAAGUACUUUCAGCGAGGAGGAAGGCAUUGGAUAGUAAUCACCUGAGAUUGACGUUACUCGCAGAAGAAGCACCGGCUAACUCCGUGCCAGCAGCCGCGGUAAUACGGAGGGUGCAAGCGUUAAUCGGAAUUACUGGGCGUAAAGCGCACGCAGGCGGUCUGUCAAGUCGGAUGUGAAAUCCCCGGGCUCAACCUGGGAACUGCAUUCGAAACUGGCAGGCUAGAGUCUUGUAGAGGGGUAGGAUU
rnacentral:rRNA from 1 species